rnacentral:rRNA from 1 species
UACGAAGGGGGCGAGCGUUGUUCGGAUUACUGGGCGUAAAGCGCACGUAGGCGGCUUUCUAAGUCGGGGGUGAAAUCCUGGAGCUCAACUCCAGAACUGCCUUCGAUACUGGAGAGCUCGAGUCCGGGAGAGGUGAGUGGAACUGCGAGUGUAGAGGUGAAAUUCGUAGAUAUUCGCAAGAACACCAGUGGCGAAGGCGGCUCACUGGCCCGGUACUGACGCUGAGGUGGCGAAAGCGUGGGGAGCAAAC